GACUUCCUUUUCGGACUAAGCUGAAAUCAUGGACGCCAGCCGCGUGCAGCCCAUCAAACUCGCUAGAGUUACUAAAGUGCUGGGAAGAACCGGCUCCCAGGGACAGUGUACCCAGGUGCGCGUUGAGUUCAUGGAUGACAGCAAUAGAUCCAUCAUCAGGAACGUGAAGGGCCCAGUAAGAGAAGGAGAUGUCCUGACACUUCUGGAGUCUGAAAGAGAGGCCAGGAGGCUUCGCUAGGUCAGUAAACAUCAUUCACAGCUGUAAAUAUAUCAUCAAUUUAUACCGCAGAUUCUCCUGUCAUAUGUUUUAGAUGGGAAAGAUAAUGCUUAGAAAUAAAGCAACGGGUUUUAAUGUAAAAAGGAUUUUUAUGCAUAAGAAGCAAUUAAGUUUUAAUACUCAGUAAAUCUGACUGAAGAGUGUCUAAAAAGUUCUCUCUCCCAGUUUUCAAAUUAUGCUAAAUGUCUGUUGUGUGCUAGACUCUAUAUCAAUAUCAGUCACAGUAAAUUGCCACAGUGACUUGAAGACCCUUUUCCAGUCGGUAUUGUGGAUGGAUAUGGAUGUGCUUGAUGUUUUUUAUAACCAUUUGUCUGUUUCUCCCAGCAGUGCACAUGUGAAGACCUGCAUUGGCCAAAGCAUCAACAUCAGCUCUACAGUUGGCAGUACAAUAUCAUUUGUGCGCAGUUUGAAAUAAAGUGUCUUUGUGAAUAAGUUGGUCUCCUCCUCAAUUUGUUUUUAUUAUGAAUAAUGUUUAAUUUUAUCUUGAGUUUUACGAUUGCUAUAAAGUACUAAUGGCACGUUUCCCCAGUUUAAUGUGAGAUACAGUCAGAUCCAAACCAGAUCAAAGCAAUUCAAUUUUGUGUACUCUAGAAUUUAGAUGUCAAGUGAUUUGUGUGUGUAUAGAGUGAGAUUUCAAACUAUGUAUCUGAUUCUGAAUCCCAACUAAAUAUCAACUGUAUUGGGCUUUAAACAGGGUAUCUGCGGGUCCUUAAAAAUUCUUUAAAUAUUUUUGGUCACAUUACCGCUAAAAUAUCUGAAGUCUGAUGGAGCUAAUGACUGUUUACAAUCAUUGGAAAGACCCUCGCGGUAGUUACUGCAUCAUCAGCAAGAAUGGCAGUAGCAGAAUACAGGUCGAACUACCUUCUUAAUUUACUCAAUAAUAGUAGUAAUAAUAAUAAUAUAGGUCGAGCUACAGCUGAUGAGCCUUCUAGCUAUUUAUUUAGCUGGUUAUUUUUUUUACUUGCCUGUCCGGAAAAAUAGCCUGAUUAAAACAUAAGUGAC
ensembl:lncRNA